ACUCUCUGCCUGUCAACGUCUCUGUACAGUGAACAUGAGGCAUGUGUAGAGAUUGUGUGACGGGUAGUGAGCCC
rfam:Branchiostoma floridae genomic scaffold BRAFLscaffold_122, whole genome shotgun sequence.